UACGUAGGGUGCAAGCGUUGUCCGGAAUUAUUGGGCGUAAAGAGCUCGUAGGCGGUUUGUCGCGUCUGCUGUUAAAUCUGGGGGCUCAACCCCCAGCCUGCAGUGGGUACGGGCAGACUAGAGUGCGGUAGGGGAGAUUGGAAUUCCUGGUGUAGCGGUGGAAUGCGCAGAUAUCAGGAGGAACACCGAUGGCGAAGGCAGAUCUCUGGGCCGUAACUGACGCUGAGGAGCGAAAGCAUGGGGAGCGAACAGG
rnacentral:rRNA from 1 species